rnacentral:sRNA from 1 species
GCUGGGUGCAGUGGCGCACGCCUGUGAUCCCAUCGACUCAGGAGGCCCAGGCAGGAGGAUUGCAAGUUCGAGGCAAGUCUCAGCAACUUAGCAAGACCCUGUCUCAA